rnacentral:rRNA from 1 species
AACGAACGCUGGCGGCAUGCCUAACACAUGCAAGUCGAACGAGACCUUCGGGUCUAGUGGCGCACGGGUGCGUAACGCGUGGGAACCUGCCCUUAGGUUCGGAAUAACUCCCCGAAAGGGGUGCUAAUACCGGAUAAUGUCUUCGGACCAAAGAUUUAUCGCCUUUGGAUGGGCCCGCGUUGGAUUAGCUAGUUGGUAGGGUAAAAGCCUACCAAGGCGACGAUCCAUAGCUGGUCUGAGAGGAUGAUCAGCCACACUGGGACUGAGACACGGACCAGACUCCUACGGGAGGCAGCAGUGGGGAAUAUUGGACAAUGGGCGAAAGCCUGAUACAGCAAUGCCGCGUGAGUGAUGAAGGCCUUAGGGUUGUAAAGCUCUUUUAGCCGGGAUGAUAAUGACAGUACCGGGAGAAUAAGCUCCGGCUAACUCCGUG